rnacentral:rRNA from 1 species
AUUGAACGCUGGCGGCAUGCUUUACACAUGCAAGUCGAACGGCAGCACGAAAGAGCUUGCUCUUUUGGUGGCGAGUGGCGAACGGGUGAGUAAUGCAUCGGAACGUACCGAGUAAUGGGGGAUAACUAUCCGAAAGGAUAGCUAAUACCGCAUACGCUUUGAGAAGGAAAGUGGGGGCUCUUCGGACCUCACGUUAUUCGAGCGGCCGAUGUCUGAUUAGCUAGUUGGUGGGGUAAGGGCCUACCAAGGCGACGAUCAGUAGCGGGUCUGAGAGGAUGAUCCGCCACACUGGGACUGAGACACGGCCCAGACUCUUCGGGAGGCAGC